GAUGAACGCUGGCGGCGUGCCUAAUACAUGCAAGUCGAGCGAACAGACGAGGAGCUUGCUCCUCUGACGUUAGCGGCGGACGGGUGAGUAACACGUGGAUAACCUACCUAUAAGACUGGGAUAACUUCGGGAAACCGGAGCUAAUACCGGAUAACAUGUUGAACCGCAUGGUUCAACAGUGAAAGACGGUCUUGCUGUCACUUAUAGAUGGAUCCGCGCCGCAUUAGCUAGUUGGUAAGGUAACGGCUUACCAAGGCAACGAUGCGUAGCCGACCUGAGAGGGUGAUCGGCCACACUGGAACUGAGACACGUUCCAGACUCCUACGGGAGGCAGCAGUAGGGAAUCUUCCGCAAUGGGCGAAAGCCUGACGGAGCAACGCCGCGUGAGUGAAGAAGGUCUUCGGAUCGUAAAACUCUGUUAUUAGGGAAGAACAAAUGUGUAAGUAACUAUGCACGUCUUGACGGUACCUAAUCAGAAAGCCACGGCUAACUACGUG
rnacentral:rRNA from 1 species